rnacentral:rRNA from 1 species
AAUGCAGUCGAGCGGACAGAUGGGAGCUUGCUCCCUGAUGUUAGCGGCGGACGGGUGAGUAACACGUGGGUAACCUGCCUGUAAGACUGGGAUAACUCCGGGAAACCGGGGCUAAUACCGGAUGCUUGAUUGAACCGCACGGUUCAAUUAUAAAAGGUGGCUUUUGCCUACCACUUACCAAUGAACCCGCGGCCCAUUACCUGGUUGGUGAGGUAACGGCUCACCAUGGGAACCAAUCGCGUACCCAACCUGAAAGGGUGAUCGCCCACCCGGGAACGGAAACACGGCCCAAACCCCUACGGGAGGCAGCAGUAGGGAAUCUUCCGCAUGGGACAAAAGUCUGACGAACCACCGCCCCGAGAUUGAUGAAGGUCUUCGAAUCGUAAACCUCUGUUGGUUAGGAAGAAACAGUUACCGUUCAAUUAGGGCUGGUACAUUGACGGUACCAAACCAGAAAGGCCACGGCUAACUACGUGCCAGCACCCGCGGUAAUUACGUAGGUGGCAGCCGUGGUCCGGAAUAAUUGGGCCGUAAAGCGCGGCGCAGGCGGUUUCUCAAGUCAGAUGUGAAAGCCCCCGGCUCAACCGGGGAGGGUCAUUGGAAACUGGGGAAGCUUGAGUGCAGAUAGAGGAGACUGGAAUUUCCACGUGUAGCGGUGAAAUGCGUAGAGAUGUGCAGGAACACCAGUGGCGAAGGCGACUCUCUAGUCUGUAACUGACGCUGAGGCGCGAAAGCGUGGGGAGCGAACAGGACUAGAUACCCUGGUAGUCCACGCCGUAAACGAUGAGUGCUAAGUGUUAGAGGGUUUCCGCCCUUUAGUGCUGCAGCAAACGCAUUAAGCACUCCGCCUGCGGAGUACGGUCGCAAGACUGAAACUCAAAGGAAUUGACGGGGGCCCGCACAAGCGGUGGAGCAUGUGAUUUAAUUCGAAGCAACGUCGAAGAACCUUACCAGGUCUUGACAUCCUCUGACAACCCUAGAGAUAGGGCUGACCCUACGAGGGCAGAGUGACAGGUGGUGCAUGGUGCGUCAGUCAGCUCGAGUAGUAGUACGAGAUGACUGACUUAAGUCCAGCAACGAGCGACUAGACCCGUCAUCGUAGAUGCAAAGCAUUCAGUUGGGCACUCUAAGGUGACUGCCGGUGACAAACCGGAGGAAGGUGGGGAUGACGUCAAAUCAUCAUGCCCCUUAUGACCUGGGCUACACACGUGCUACAAUGGGCAGAACAAAGGGCAGCGAAGCCGCGAGGCUAAGCCAAUCCCACAAAUCUGUUCUCAGUUCGGAUCGCAGUCUGCAACUCGACUGCGUGAAGCUGGAAUCGCUAGUAAUCGCGGAUCAGCAUGCCGCGGUGAAUACGUUCCCGGGCCUUGUACACACCGCCCGUCACACCACGAGAGUUUGUAACACCCGAAGUCGGUGAGGUAACC